GACGAACGCUGGCGGCGUGCUUAACACAUGCAAGUCGAACGGAGUUCCUUGGAUAGAGGCUUCGGCCAAUUGAAUUGGAACUUAGUGGCGGACUGGUGAGUAACGCGUGAGGAACCUGCCUUUCAGAGGGGGACAACAGUUGGAAACGACUGCUAAUACCGCAUGACACAUUCGGGCGGCAUCGCUUGAAUGUCAAAGAUUUUAUCGCUGAAAGAUGGCCUCGCGUCUGAUUAGCUAGUUGGUAGGGUAACGGCCUACCAAGGCGACGAUCAGUAGCCGGACUGAGAGGUUGACCGGCCACAUUGGGACUGAGAUACGGCCCAGACUCCUACGGGAGGCAGCAGUGGGGAAUAUUGGGCAAUGGACGCAAGUCUGACCCAGCAACGCCGCGUGAAGGAAGAGGGCUUUCGGGUUGUAAACUUCUUUUAAGUGGGAAGAGUAGAAGACGGUACCACUUGAAUAAGCCACGGCUAACUACGUGCCAGCAGCCGCUGUAACAC
rnacentral:rRNA from 1 species